AGUGAACGCUGGCGGUAGGUCUAACACAUGCAAGUCGAACGGCAGCACAGUAAGAGCUUGCUCUUACGGGUGGCGAGUGGCGGACGGGUGAGGAAUACAUCGGAAUCUACUUUUUCGUGGGGGAUAACGUAGGGAAACUUACGCUAAUACCGCAUACGACCUACGGGUGAAAGCAGGGGAUCUUCGGACCUUGCGCGAUUGAAUGAGCCGAUGUCGGAUUAGCUAGUUGGCGGGGUAAAGGCCCACCAAGGCGACGAUCCGUAGCUGGUCUGAGAGGAUGAUCAGCCACACUGGAACUGAGACACGGUCCAGACUCCUACGGGAGGCAGCAGUGGGGAAUAUUGGACAAUGGGCGCAAGCCUGAUCCAGCCAUACCGCGUGGGUGAAGAAGGCCUUCGGGUUUUAAAGCCCUUUUGUUGGGAAAGAAAAGCAGCAGGUUAAUACCCCGCUGUUCUGACGGUACCCAAAGAAUAAGCACCGGCUAACUUCGUG
rnacentral:rRNA from 1 species